UACGAAGGGUGCAAGCGUUGCUCGGAAUUAUUGGGCGUAAAGGGUAGGUAGGUGGUCGCAGAAGUCCGAGGUGAAAUCCCUGAGCUUAACUCAGGACGUGCCUUGGAAACUUUGUGACUAGAGUACUGGAGAGGUUCGUGGAAUUCCCGGUGUAGCGGUGAAAUGCGUAGAGAUCGGGAGGAACAUCAGAGGCGAAGGCGACGAACUGGACAGUAACUGACACUGAACUACGAAAGCGUGGGGAGCAAACAGG
rnacentral:rRNA from 1 species